CAUUAUCUUUCAAGUCCUGCAUUAUCACAGAUGAAGAAAUUCUUUCAAGUCUUGUUUGCCAUUCUCACUAUUUACAUCCUUCUUGUGCAAGGGAAAGGAGUGUCACUGAAUGCGAUGACACAUUGUCAUAAGAUUUUUUCAAAUAAACAAAGGACAUGUCCUAUUGAAGAAUGUAAAUCUAUAUGUACAAGGACGUGGAAAGGAACCGGUAUUUGUGAGCAAGUAAAUACAAAAGGGGACAUGAAAUGUUAUUGCAUAUACCUUUGCCCUGAAAAACUAAUGCUUUAGCAUUGUAUAAUAUUGGCACAGUUAUGGUUUGUGGAAGGUAGACCUAAAAGUUGAAAAGUCUUAACAGUUAAUAAUAUUUUAAUUUUUC